AAAUUGAAGAGUUUGAUCAUGGCUCAGAUUGAACGCUGGCGGCAGGCCUAACACAUGCAAGUCGAACGGUAACAGGAAGCAGCUUGCUGUUUCGCUGACGAGUGGCGGACGGGUGAGUAAUGUCUGGGAAACUGCCUGAUGGAGGGGGAUAACUACUGGAAACGGUGGCUAAUACCGCAUAACGUCGCAAGACCAAAGAGGGGGACCUUCGGGCCUCUUGCCAUCAGAUGUGCCCAGAUGGGAUUAG
rnacentral:rRNA from 1 species